GAAUUUUCUAUUACACUUUCCUAACUAAAAUGACUUGGCCUGACUGUUCAGGCAGCAGGGAUCGACUGACUGCUUCUGCAUUGUGUGGAAAUGACAUUGGAUAUGUAUAUUCCUCACUACAAGAAGAAGCAAACAGCACAGCCCUAAAAGUACUUAAGACCUAAUCCUGCAAAGAUGUAUCAGUAAUAUUAGAUAAAGUAUUUCCACAGAAAUCAGUUUUCAUUAGAACAAAUCUGCUAGGAGGUUUUGCCAGUCACUUAAGCAUGCUGUUACAUGGUCUUUUUAUAUAAA